rnacentral:rRNA from 1 species
UACGUAGGUGGCAAGCGUUAUCCGGAAUUACUGGGCGUAAAGCGCACGCAGGCGGUUUUGUAAGUUUGGCGUGAAAGCUCCCGGCUUAACUGGGAGAGGUCGCUGAAGACUGCAAGACUUGAGGCAAUGAGAGGGGUGUAGAAUUCCUGGUGUAGUGGUGGAAUGCGUAGAUAUCAGGAGGAAUACCAGUGGCGAAGGCGAGUCUCUGGACAUUUCCUGACGCUGAGGCACGAAAGCCAGGGGAGCAAACGGG